rnacentral:rRNA from 1 species
UACAGAGGUCCCAAGCGUUGUUCGGAUUCACUGGGCGUAAAGGGUGCGUAGGCGGUUGGAUAAGUCUGAUGUGAAAUCUUCGAGCUUAACUCGGAAACUGCAUCGGAAACUAUCUAGCUCGAGGAUUGGAGGGGAGACUGGAAUUCUCGGUGUAGCAGUGAAAUGCGUAGAUAUCGAGAGGAACACCAGUGGCGAAGGCGAGUCUCUGGACAAUUCCUGACGCUGAGGCACGAAAGCUAGGGGAGCAAACAGG